GAAGGUUCUGUGAAGACAUGAAGGUUCUGUGGAGACAUGAUGGUUCUGUGGAGACGAAGGUUCUGUGGAGACAUGAAGGUUCUGUGAAGACAUGAAGGUUCUGUGGAGACAUGAUGGUUCUGUGGAGACGAAGGUUCUGUGGAGACAUGAAGGUUCUGUGGAGACAUGAAGGUUCUGUGGAGACAUGAUGGUUCUGUGGAGACGAAGGUUCUGUGGAGACAUGAAGGUUCUGUGAAGACAUGAAGGUUCUGUGGAGACAUGAUGGUUCUGUGGAGACGAAGGUUCUGUGGAGACAUGAUGGAUCUGUGGAGACAUGAUGGAUCUGUGGAGACAUGAAGGUUCUGUGGAGACAUGAAGGUUCUGUGAAGACAUGAAGGUUCUGUGGAGACAUGAAGGUUCUGUGGAAACAUGAAGGUUCUGUGGAGACAUGAUGGUUCUGUGGAGACAUGAUGGUUCUGUGGAGACAUGAAGGUUCUGUGGAGACAUGAUGGUUCUGUGGAGACAUGAAGGUUCUGUGAAGACAUGAUGGAUCUGUGGAGACAUGAAGGAUCAGGAGGUUUGAAGCUGAACAAACCGACAGGAUUUGAUCCUUUUCAUUAAAGAAAAUCAGUUUUUGUUGCACUUUGCAUCGCUGCUCUGAGAAAAUAAAUGUCACAUCCAAAGUUUUAAAGAACGGUUUGAUCUGUUGGUGCUCUGUGUGUUUGUCAGGGAGGACCCUCAGCUACUACCACACUGAAGUUUAGCUCAAUACCUGUAAAAAUGACUGAGCAGCUUCGGCGGCCAUCUUGAAUCAGGCUGAGAUAUUUAACCAGACGUUCAACAGAUGAUGACUUUCUGAGUUUGAAUAAAGUUCCUCUGUUAAUUACAUCAUCACCUGCCUUUUGUAACAGCAGGUGUUAAGAUGUAAUCACACAAAAAUAAUAUGUUUUAAACACUGAGUUCAUCAGGUUAAUGUAAACAAAAUGUAACAAUGGAUCAAAAACAAAUCAGUUUAAAUAUUGCGAAGUAAAAUAUUUAAUGAUGUUGAAUGAUUUCUGGUUUUAUAGCUGUGAAACAGAAAUAAAAAUUUUGUUUGUUCAGAUUUUUGUUUUAUAAUUGUUGCACCAAUAAAACCAUUUGUUUGUAGAAAACAAUAGUUUUACCUUUAAUCUGUACAUUUCUGUAGCUGAUGUUUUUUUCAUGUUAGUUAAAAAUCUCACAGAGCUGUUUUCUUUUGAGUCGUUUUCUAUAAAUUAAAUGUUUUAUUUCAGUCUUUUAACACUCUGUUAGCCUGCCAUGCAGACA